UCCGUAGGUGAACCUGCGGAAGGAUCAUUCAUAAUAAGUGUUUUAUGGCACUUUUUAAAUCCAUAUCCACCUUGUGUGCAAUGUCAGUUGUUCUCUUUUUUGAGAAUGACCAAACAUCAACUUAUUCUUUAACUCUUUGUCUGAAAAAUAUUAUGAAUAAAAUAAUUCAAAAUACAACUUUCAACAACGGAUCUCUUGGCUCUCGCAUCGAUGAAGAACGCAGCGAAAUGCGAUACGUAAUGUGAAUUGCAGAAUUCAGUGAAUCAUCGAAUCUUUGAACGCAUAUUGCGCUCUUUGGUAUUCCGAAGAGCAUGCUUGUUUGAGUAUCAGUAAACACCUCAAAGACUUCAAUUUGUUUUGAAUGGCUUUGGACUUGAGCAAUCCCAACACCAGUCUUUACGAUCGGUGGAGGGUUGCUUGAAAUGCAGGUGCAGCUGGACAUUCUCCUGAGCUAAAAGCAUAUUUAUUUAGUCCCGUCAAACGGAUUAUUACUUUUGCUGCAGCUAACAUAAAGGGAGUUUGACCGUAUUGGCUGACUGAUGCAGGAUUUCACAAGGGUCGGCAACGAUUCUUGUAAAACUCGAUCUCAAAUCAAGCAAGACUACCCGCUGAACUUAAGCAUAUCAAUAAGCGGAGGAAAAGAAACUAACAAGGAUUCCCCUAGUAACGGCGAGUGAAGCGGGAUGAGCUCAAAUUUAAAAUCUGGCUGGUUUACUAGUCCGAAUUGUAGUUUAUAGAAGCGUUUUCGGUGGCAGCCUGGGUAUAAGUCCUUUGGAAUAGGGUAUCAUAGAGGGUGAGAACCCCGUCUUUGACUCAGUGCAKGCUACUAUGUGAUACGUUUUCAAAGAGUCGAGUUGUUUGGGAAUGCAGCUCAAAAUGGGUGGUAAAUUUCAUCUAAAGCUAAAUAUUGGCGAGAGACCGAUAGCGAACAAGUACCGUGAGGGAAAGAUGAAAAGAACUUUGAAAAGAGAGUUAAACAGUGCGUGAAAUUGUUGAAAGGGAAACGCUUGAAGU
rnacentral:sRNA from 1 species